rnacentral:rRNA from 1 species
GGCGAACGGGUGAGUAACACGUGAGUAACCUGCCCUUGACUUUGGGAUAACUUCAGGAAACUGGGGCUAAUACCGGAUAGGAGCUCCUGCUGCAUGGUGGGGGUUGGAAAGUUUCGGCGGUUGGGGAUGGACUCGCGGCUUAUCAGCUUGUUGGUGGGGUAGUGGCUUACCAAGGCUCUGACGGGUAGCCGGCCUGAGAGGGUGACCGGCCACAUUGGGACUGAGAUACGGCCCAG